UACAGGGGGGGGCAAGCGUUGUUCGGAAUUACUGGGCGUAAAGGGUUUGUAGGUGGCUUGCUCAGUCAGACGUGAAAUCCCUCAGCUUAACUGGGGAACUGCGUCUGAUACUAGCGAGCUUGAGUGCAGGAGAGGAACGCGGAAUUCCAGGUGUAGCGGUGAAAUGCGUAGAUAUCUGGAGGAACACCGGUGGCGAAGGCGGCAUCCUGGACCGACACUGACGCUGAGGAGCGAAAGCCAGGGGAGCAAACGGG
rnacentral:rRNA from 1 species